UACGAAGGGAGCUAGCGUUGUUCGGAAUUACUGGGCGUAAAGCGCACGUAGGCGGAUCGAUCAGUCAGGGGUGAAAUCCCAGAGCUCAACUCUGGAACUGCCUUUGAUACUGCAAGUCUUGAGUCCGGAAGAGGUGAGUGGAAUUCCUAGUGUAGAGGUGAAAUUCGUAGAUAUUAGGAAGAACACCAGUGGCGAAGGCGGCUCACUGGUCCGGUACUGACGCUGAGGUGCGAAAGCGUGGGGAGCAAACAGG
rnacentral:rRNA from 1 species